rnacentral:rRNA from 1 species
UUUGGAUGAGCCCGCGGCCUAUCAGCUUGUUGGUGGGGUGAUGGCCUACCAAGGCGACGACGGGUAGCCGGCCUGAGAGGGCGACCGGCCACACUGGGACUGAGACACGGCCCAGACUCCUACGGGAGGCAGCAGUGGGGAAUAUUGCACAAUGGGCGCAAGCCUGAUGCAGCGACGCCGCGUGAGGGAUGACGGCCUUCGGGUUGUAAACCUCUUUCACCACGCGACGAAGCGAGAGUGACGUACGUCAGCUGUGAUUCGAUCGCC